UGAUCUGGCGCUGAAGGUGAGCUCCGUCCGGGUCUAAAUACUGCAGCAGUGGUUAGUGGAAUCAACAUCAGCCGAGCAGGUAGGUAGAUCACCCGGCCACGCUCCUUGACCUACUUUCAGGCUGCGCCAGCAACAACACACAAACAGACACAACAGGGAAAAAGCGGAGAGACACACAAAGGACGGGAGAGAACAGCUGCCCCCAUAACAGUUUGACUGUGAG